AGGAGAAAAUCGCCGGAUCCCCACCCGCGCGGCAGGUGGGGUAUGUGGGAGUUGAACCUCACUAAAAACUCCUGCCGCUCACAACCGGCGCCCUACCUCGGACCGGGCCGGAGCCCAGUCGGGGCUAUUGAGACGGCGGGACAGGGUUGACGUAGAGCAUAUUACAUCCAUCCCACCGUCCCACGGACGCCGGACCGGCGGCCGCCAGCGACACGACCACCGGUUCCCUCGUUCAGCGGGCCGAGAGCCCGCACCAUUUCAACCUAGGUGAUAUUUUCUCAAAUCUACGUUUUUAGCAGAACACAAAUUAAAACGAAGACUCAAAUAUUUAGAAUAAUUAUACGUAGCUAUGUCACUGACUCAAUAAAGAAAUACAUUCAAAGCGACACCCCAAAACAAAAACACGGUAGAGCGAACAUUUAAUCACGGACUAUUAAAAUUAUUUCGCUCAGAGCCGUAAAGAACGACAAUCAACUAAUGGAGGGAAUUGCAGCUAUAACGUUCUUAGGGUUAGCUGCAACUAGACCGAGAAUAAACAAAUAAAACCUUUAA